rnacentral:lncRNA from 1 species
GAGAUAGAGAUUCAUAGACAAAUCCUAUAAUCUUGAUCUUCAAUCAUGUAGUCUUGAUGAGCUCCUUUCCAAGUCUUCCCCUUCUUUAUUUGAUUUUGGUGUUGUUUUUGUGUGUGGAAGAGAGAAAAAAUGGUAGAGAAUGGAGGCUAGGGUUUGGAAUUGGAGAGAAUUGGGGAAGAUGGAGUGGGUGUGUGAUGUUGGGGAUGAUGAAUAAUGUGAGGAAAAGGGGGAGAAAGGGGUUAAAAACGCGUUUGGGGGAGCCCCGCCCUUUUCCCGCGGUCACGGCCCGCGUCCGCGGCCUUCAAACGUGGGGGAG